GGUCGUGUGGCGCAGUCGGUAGCGCGUUCCGCUCAGACCCAAAAGGUUGCGGGUUCGAAUCCCGCCCAUGUCA